rnacentral:rRNA from 1 species
AUUGAACGCUGGCGGCAGGCCUAACACAUGCAAGUCGAACGAGUGGCGGACGGGUGAGUAAUGUAUGGGAAACUGCCCGGUGGAGGGGGAUAACGACUGGAAACGGUAGCUAAUACCGCAUACCAUCGGAUGUGCCGAGAUGGGAUUAGCUAGUUGGUGGGGUAACGGCCCACCAAGGCGACGAUCCCUAGCUGGUCUGAGAGGAUGACCAGCCACACUGGAACUGAGACACGGUCCAGACUCCUACGGGAGGCAGCAGUGGGGAAUAUUGGACAAUGGGCGCAAGCCUGAUGCAGCCAUGCCGCGUGUGUGAAGAAGGCCUUCGGGUUGUAAAGCACUUUUGUUGAGAAAGCGUUACUCAAAGAAGAAGCACCGGCUAACUCCGUGCCAGCAGCCGCGGUAAUAC